rnacentral:lncRNA from 1 species
GACUUUAUUAUACAAUCAAUAGUACCGAAGUACCCUGUGCCCGGCCCCUCUCAGAGGCUCCUCAGGACUUUACUGUGCCCGGCCCUCGAUGGGGCUCCUCAGGUCUUUACUGUGAGGGCUAAUGUAACCAAAACUAUGUCCGAUCUGCACAUCAUACAAUGUACAAGGAGCAGUGCCAAGUACAAUGUUAAAUGCAAUGCGUCAUAUUCGUGUACACUAAUGCAAUCAAUCCUAUUGCAUAUCAUGAUGCAUGAAACAUGCUAAAAGCAUUUAAUUUCNN